UUCAACAAAUCAUAAAGCACAACGACAUUAACUUCUACCGGAAAAGGUAGGGCCUAUCUAGGAGAGGACGGACCCUCCUGAUUGGACAGACGGACUGUCUGUCUUUCGCGCUCCCAAAUCACCCACAAUCCUAUGCGCGCGGCUUUGCCGGCUCGUUAAAAAAACAACAAUGGCGGACCUAAGCGGGGCAUCGCUGAUGGCACAAGUAUCAUUUAAAUGGGACUAAGGAACAAACUGAGGCUGCCCUAGCAUCACCAGAAGGAAGACAUGAGGAGGAGAGGGAAAGCAAAAGACAAGCAGGGAGACAGAGGCUACUGGAACACUGGACGAAAUGGAUGUGGAACUGUGCUGUUAAAUUUUUUUUGUUGAGAUGAAGAAGGUGAAUCGACGUCAGUCUGCUUGCAGGAGAAUAUUCUGUGAGGAACUUUGCCCUCAACGUGCAAAGUCUUGAAGCAACACCGUCAUCGCCAGCUGAGUCUGAUUGCCGCUUCAUGUUGAACAUACUUUUAUACAGCAUAAAGUCAUGUUUGAAUAAAGGUUAUAAUAAAGAUA